rnacentral:lncRNA from 13 species
ACUGAGCCCCUUGUGCAGAAGCACAGGCUACUAGACUACAUGCUAAAUUGAGGGAACCAUUUACAAGAUACUACCCUGUGCUUCAUUAAGUGGAGCAAUCCCAGGUUUAGGACAGAAAACUAAAUGUAAGCAAGAGGAACAGAAAUCAGUUUCUGUAAGAAUGAUUGCAUCCAACCCUAGCUGACUGUUCUCUCGCCCUACUCCAUCCACAGGCUACAGAGAGGGGAACAGAAAACCAAGCCUUCUAGCUGCAGCUGGAGGAUGAGGCUAAGUCUCAGAAAAUGGUGGAAGGAGGGCCCAAGAGAAUUCAUUCAGAAGACCAGAGGAGGAGGUAUUAGACCAGACUUCAAUAUACAAAGCAAAAAGGCCCAUUCUG